rnacentral:rRNA from 1 species
AAAAUUUAGUUAGAAUUUUAUUUUUUAGUUAAAAAGCUAAAAUAUAUUCAAAAGACGAGAAGACCCUAUAAAUCUUGAUUAUUUAGUAAUUUUUAGUUUAUUUUGAUUUUUUUUAUUAUAAAUUUAUUAAUUAAUUUUAUUGGGGUGAUAUUAAAAUUUAAAUAACUUUUAAUAAUUUUUAUCAUUUAUUUAUGAUUAAGUGAUCCAUUAUUAGUGAUUAAAAAAUUAAGUUACUUUAGGGAUAACAGCGUAAUUUUUUUGGAGAGUUCUUAUCGAUAAAAAAGUUUGCGACCUCGAUGUUGGAUUAAGAUUCAUAUUUAAAUGUAGAAGUUUAAAUNUAAAGNCUGUUCGAC